AGGAGGGAGUUUCCUUCCGCAACUACAGCCAUGGCUUGGGUUAAACCUGGGUUCCCCCAGACCCCUGCUCUACAGAUCCUGAUCUUUUGAGCUCGUGGCAAAAAGUCACUUUAUUUGUCUCCCUAACAAUCACCAAGGGUCCCUUUCAUGACAAAUCCAGCCAGAUGGCCCAGGCUCCUAUUAAUGGACCAUAUCUUACAGGAGUCUCAGCUUCCUCACCUGGGAAACGGAAAUAACUCCUGCCUUAACGGAUGGCUGUGAAGGGUUGGAAUCAUGUAUAGGAAGAGCUUGGGCAAGUCAAUAAAUGGAAACUUCUGGUCUGGCCCGUCCUGUGAGGAAACCGAAGCUGCCCAGGGCCACACAGCUCGGAAGUGUUGGCACAGGAUUAACGAUAGUGCAUGCCUGAGUCCAGUCCAAAGCCUACGGUCUUUCCACUUUACCUCAUUGAUCAAGUCUUACUCUCCAUUGCAUGAGGCCUCACCCCUGACACACUGAAUGGAGCAUGGUCACUUCCUACCCACCCCUGCAUGCCUGGAAACUUCCUCGAGGUAUCUUCUCCUUCCCAGGCGCCCACUUACUCCACCUCUGCAAGUAAGGCUCUCCUCAGCCUUCGUUUCUGGAUCAAAUCACUUUUCAUCCUUUCCUGAUUUCUCUCACAAGUUUUGUACAAG